GUUGCGUUUCGGAUUAGGUUUAUUGAGUCUCCAUCUCUCGCGUCUCCAGAAGCGUUCUUCCAUGGAGAGAUCUUUCGUCUUCUUCGUCCGGUGGUAACCGAUUCCCCAAUCACAGACGAUCCCCAUUCAAUGCAACUGUGGGGAGUUCAACGCGGUGGAAGCUCUGCUAUAAAAAGGCGGCCACUAUCAGUGUCAACCGUCUGGAGACCCACCGGUGUAACAGAGUUUGAACGUUAUAUGAUCGCCAAAUUGCUCAGAGCUUGAGCAACUCUCACUUUCAGGUAGCGGAACGGGCUCUAUACUCAUGGAACAAGGAUCAUGUUAGUGACUUGGUGAGACAUAACAGCAGAAUCAUUCUACCGAUAGCGUUUCCACUGUCCAGCAUUGGAGAAGAAACGGUAGUAGCCAUUGGAACCAGGCUGUGAAGAACUUGACGGAGAUUGUGCUCAAGGUUUUGUAUGAUACAAAUCCAGAGUUUUUUGAAGAAUGUUUGUGCAAGUUUCAAAAGGAUCAGCUAAAUGCAGAAGAUAACAAGAAGAAGAAUGGAGAAACAUGGAGACAGCUAGAGGAGAUUGUUGCUUCAAUGGCGAAGUAAAGAGUUUUUAUAUACUGCACUUUUCAAGCUAUACAAAAGAAAAGAAGAAAAUUGGUUUAUGUUUUUGUUUUUCUUACGCCUGAAUGAUAUAUACAGUUUUACUUUUUGCUUUGCUUGGUUCAAGUCUAUUGUUUGUUCUCUUUCAGUUCUUGAUUUUGUGUGUCUGUAUUAUACUUCUCUGUUCAUGUAAACCAUCUUCGUAAGAAAACAAUAGUUCUCUA